UUUAGAGUAACUUUUUUAUUUGUAGGUAUUGAGAAUAUUUCAUGUUACUGAGGAAGUGUAUAUUGUGUUUUUAAAUUAUACAUUAGAAUUUUAUAAUUAUAAAAUUAAAAAAAUUCCAAUUAAUUACAUGAUUAUUAAGCUGAUUUUCUGUUAAAAAGUUUAAUCACAUGAUUAUUAUUUUUUAAUAUUUAGAAAUCAAAAUAUUUCUAUUCUAUAUUUUUUUAU
rnacentral:lncRNA from 1 species